GAAGCUGGAAUUGCUGUAAUCAUAGGUCAGCAUACUAUGGUGAAUACGUUCCCGGGCCUUGUACACACCGCCCGUCACACCAUGAGAGUUGAGAAUACCCGAAGUCCAUGUUAAAGUGGCCGAAGGUAGGCUUGAUGAUUGGGGUGAAGUCGUAACAAGGUAUC
rnacentral:rRNA from 1 species